UCGACAAAUGCUUAAAUUGAUCGGCCAGACUUUGAAACUCUUGGGCUCAGACUUUCUGAGUUGGCAGAGGUGUAUUAGCAAACUUCCAAGUCACUUGAGUGAAGCCCUCGUAGGUUCUACCUCCGGCUACCUCAUUGACAGGUACAGCAUCAGAGAUCUCUUUCAGACCUUCUUCGGUAAGCUUCAGUUUGAAAGAGCCGAUAUUGUCAUCCAAGUUCUUAAUCUUAGUUGUCCCUGGAGUUAGAAGAAAACCAGCAAACAUUCCAAGGAAUUAUGUUAGGAGUCACUUUGAGAGUAUUUACUUGGAUCAAAGGCGAUAUAAAUGCAUGCCUUCUUCUCGGCAAUUCAUAAGGCCACACAGACCCACUAGAUAGCCUGUGUGGUUUUUAUACACAACAGCCACUUGAUGGCUCUUUUUUCUUUUU